GGAGAUACUUAAGCAGCAUGAGGAAGAAAAAACCGAUCCCUUUUUCAUAGAAGUUUCCGAAUGCAGUUCCUCUUGCUCUUCGUUUACUAGAAAGAAUGCUUGCGUUUGAGCCUAAAGAUCGUCCUACUGCUGAGGAGGCACUUUCGGAUCCGUAUUUCAAGAAUUUGGCUAAGGUUGAGAGGGAACCUUCUGCUCAACCGGUAACUAAAAUGGAAUUUGAAUUUGA